rnacentral:rRNA from 1 species
GACGAACCGUGCGAACGUUGUUCGGAAUCACUGGGCUUAAAGGGCGCGUAGGCGGCUUACCAAGUCAGGGGUGAAAUUUUGCGGCUUAACCGUAACAGUGCCUUUGAUACUGGUAGGCUCGAGGGAGGUAGGGGUUCGCGGAACUUCUGGUGGAGCGGUGAAAUGCGUAGAUAUCGGAAGGAACGCCGGUGGCGAAAGCGACCUGCUGGAUCUCUUCUGACGCUGAUGCGCGAAAGCUAGGGGAGCGAACAGG